rnacentral:lncRNA from 1 species
AAGUUGUUCUGGGCCAAAAACAUCAAUCAGCCUCAUCUCCAGAGUGAUCCUCCAAACUCAGGGAGAAUUGAAGUGAAUGACAGUUCCUGUUUCUCAACAUCAUUGUCAGCAUUUGGUGCUGUCAGUGUUCUAGAUUUUGACCAUUAUAAAGUCAUCCUCCUUAGCCACCUCUGAUGAACGCAUUGAAGAGGAUGACCUGCUUGGUUAUUCUGCUUCCCGAAUACAAAAAAUUAGGCUUCUGAAAUCAAACAUAAGAAGUCAUUGUUGCUUUUAUUCCAGAGACUAGGUCUCACUGUGUUUCCCAGGCAGGUCUCUAACUACUGGGCUCAAGUGAUCUGUCUGCUGCAGCCUCCCAAAGUGACGGGAUUAGAGGCAUUAGCAACCCCAACCAGCCUCAACCAAG